GUCCUUCAGAAUCUUCCUCAUCGAGAGUCAGUUCAAACUGAAACUUCUCCAUCAGACCCUGGCAGUCCCUGUUCUGCUCGUCCAGUGGUGGUGAGGGACUUUGAGGUAUCAUGCUCUGAUACCAGUUCCUGUUAUCUUCUAAGGUAUCGAGAAUGUCCUGAGCAUCAGGCUGUACCAAAUCUGCCCAGGUCUCCCACAAUGGAUGGACAAUGUAGUCGAUGAAACCAACCUGGAGAAAAAUAAGAUGACACAUCUGUUAUUGUGAUGGUGCUUGAAAAGUAAACAAGGUGUCCUGGUUUCCAUGCAAAGAAAGAACAUUAAUAACUUCUGAAAGAUCAAUCAUAAUGGAUUCCAUGAUUUGGGCACUCACAAUACAGUGGGUCUUACACUGAAUGCAGUCGAUGUAUUCUCUCUUAAUCCUGGAAGAUAAGAAGUCUGGAUGGAAUCCUCAUGAUUCCAGGGACCCAAAGACAAAGAAUGACUUUGCCACUACUUGGAUUCUGUGAGUCAUUUUCUGAAGAAGAAAUUGCAAUAUCUGGAAACCUAAGCUGCAGCUUCCAGCCUGCCUUUUAUAUAGAAGAAUCACAGGCAUCUUUUGUUAGACAGAAGUCUGCUUGAGAAUAUGGUCAUCAGACUUAUGAAACCACAUUUUCUCUUAAUCAAGAAUACCAGACAAGUGGUGGUAAUGUGUUACUUAAUUACAGGUUCUGUUACACAUAUAUCAUUGCUUUAACAGUGUGCUCUUAGUUACAACCUCCAAUGAGUACUCUUGUUUUGUUCAUCCUGUGAUCAAGGCCACAGAUCUACAAGCAGGCUUUAUAUGUUGCAGUGCUAUAGGUGACUGUGGUAGAUAGACCAUUUUUCUGUGUGAGGCUAACUGGCCUAUAUAUGAUUCAUGACACCACAUUCUACCAACUGAUAUAAUCCAUGCAGACAUGUAGCUGCCCCAACAUUUUGUUUGUUCAACAGAAGAAUGAAGUAAAAGGACCCAGUGUACUCCAAACCUAGGUCAUUCAGAUAUUCUUCGGAUAAAGGUCAAGGACUGAUGAUCAGGACUCUUUUACAGCAAGUAGCUCAAAAAGCACUUCUAGAAAACUGUCAGUACUUGAUGUUAUUCAUGACUACAAUAACCAAUAUUCUCAAAGUACUUAGAUUUCCAGCACUUAGCAUUAUUUGAGAAAAUGAAUGGAUUUUCAAAGGUAUGAAAACUAAACAUUUUAAGCAUGACAAAAGCUUUGAGUAUGGCUUGGAAUCCUAAGGCUAGACCACCCCUGGUCACUCAGGUCAUUGCUACUCCCAAUCCAUAAUCAAAUCUAUGCAGUUGGAAGAAAAUGUAUGGAACUUUUAAUGACCCUUCCUUCUGAACUGUGGAAACUCAUUCCAGUGCUUUUUAUGGCAUCUUAUUUUUACUUGGAGGUUCCCAUGUGCAGAUUCAACAUUUGUGGCUGCUUCCCAAGCAGAUAGGGACAGCAGUGAGUUACUAUGCUCUGUGCGAGAGUUUUGCAUAAUAUAAAAAGUCAUUAUCAUGGGAUCCCCAAACCUUUUAUUGUUCUUUAUGAAUAAUUCCAUAUCUAUUAUUCUUUCCUUACAUAUUGUAUUUGCCAAACUUUGAGUACUUUUUAUGGCUCCCCUAUGACCCUCUCCAAGUUCUCCAUGCAGCUCAAACAUUGUGUUGCCAGACUGGACUGAGUAUCCACGAAAGGCCUGACCAGUUUGAGAGAAAUGGAAGGAUUGCCUCAUUAUUAUCCUUGUGAUUAUCCAUAAUGAAAACAUUAGGAGGAAAAAAAUUAAGCAGUGAAUCAUACAAUUAUCUGGAAUGACUGCUGUAGUGGUGAACUCACUUGUGUUGAUGAGAAACUGAUUGGAGACUCCAGGAUGAUCAACGUCAUGGAUGGCAGCUGCAAAAAUGGCAGCCAGGAUUUCCAAAUCUGUGAAGACAGCCUGUCGGGCAAAUAAACACAUUUAACUCCACAUCCAAUUUGCCUAUCCUGCUUAUUCAGUUUCAUUUGUAAAGUAUCCUACUUUAUUCUUGUUGGGAGAGGGAUUGUUGAUUUAUGUAAUAUCUCAAUAUACUAAUUUAAGUAAAUGUAGAUUCUGUUCAUCAUCAUAAAGUCUCUGAUGUGAAAGGGAUGAUGGCCAGAGCUCAAUCUCACAUCAAGCCUAAAGGCUGAUGCUUGGAAAGAUAUUAGCACAAAUCUCAUGGAGUGUGUAAACGUCUAAUGUUUGUUUCUUGGACCAGUGAUGUGGCAGCAUGGUGCUUAUGUAACACAAGCAGAUACAAGUCAAAGAAGCAAGUCAGACUGGCUUUGCUCUGAGACAUAACAACCUUCAUAUACUCUUAGCUGAAUAACUUAGAGAAAAAUGGCCAAACUCCCGAUUCAUAAGAUAAGCAAUAAAUUAUUUCCCAAAGCUAAA